UACGUAGGUGGCAAGCGUUGUCCGGAUUUACUGGGCGUAAAGAGCGCGCAGGCGGUCGGAUAAGUCGAAUGUGAAAGCCCCCGGCUCAACUGGGGAGGGUCAUUCGAUACUGUUCGACUCGAAGGCAGGAGAGGGAAGUGGAAUUCCCGGUGUAGUGGUGAAAUGCGUAGAUAUCGGGAGGAACACCAGUGGCGAAGGCGACUUCCUGGCCUGUUCUUGACGCUGAGGCGCGAAGGCUAGGGGAGCAAACGGG
rnacentral:rRNA from 1 species